UCUCACUACCUUGUCUUUCAGG
rnacentral:miRNA from 1 species